rnacentral:tRNA from 1 species
CGGGCAGUAGUUCAGCGGUAGAGCUCUAGCUUUGUAUGCUGGAAGACUUGGGUUCGAUUCCCGGAUGCUUAC